CAUCCUUCCUGGUGCUUUUGAUGUCUGUAAUGUGAUGAUAAAACCACUGUCUGCAUUCAAGCCUAUUUGCUCUUUCUUGAUACCCUAUGGCUGUGAUGGAAAUGUUAAGAUAAGUGGGCACCAACAGCUUUUCUGCCUUCCUGCCUUUGCCAAAAGAACAGAAUUGUGGUAUCCCAUCCCUUUUGGCUACCAGAACCCCCCUUUUAAGUGGCUUCUGAUUUUUCAUUCAUGUUUUCUUCCGAGUUGUAUAUAUCCCAGAUGACGAUUUCAUAGAAUCAUCAUAGAAACAGAAUGGUUUGGGUUGGAAGAGACCUUAAAGAUCACCUAAUUCCACUCCCCCUGCCAUGAGCAGGGACACCUUCCAUUAGAAACUUCCAAUAGUUUGCAAGUCAUUUUAAGUGUUCCAUAUUUUUUAGCAAUAAAGCUGGAAGGUGGCUU